rnacentral:tRNA from 1 species
GGGCCCGUAGCGUAGCGAGAAGCGUGGUUGCCUUUCACUCAGUCGGCUUGGGUUCGAACCCAGACGGCCCCG